rnacentral:lncRNA from 1 species
GAACAUGGAAAAGCCCAUGACACCUCUCUCUCCACUUCUCUCCCUCUCUAGGUGGAGCUGACAGGCAGCAGCGUCUUUGACUAUGUCCACCCUGGGGACCACGUGGAGAUGGCAGAGCAGCUGGGCAUGAAGCUCCCGCCUGGGCGGGGCCUCCUCUCGCAGGGCACCACAGAGGACGCGGCCAGUUCGGCAUCUUCCUCCUCUCAGUCAGAGACCCCUGAGCCAGGAAAUUUCGGUCGUGAUGACAAGGCCCCAUUCAUUCGUUCCAGACCCUCUGUUCGGGUCUGGGCUUCGAGGCUGAGAGCUACAGCUAGGCGUACACCUCCAUGAGUGCUUCAGAACCAAAUGAGCUUCUGUGCGCCCGAGUGGAAGGUGUUAGAAAUCUACCUCCCAUCUGGAGACUUCACCUGUGUGACCCCACCCACCCGCAGAACUCAGUGAAACAACUGGUCACAGUGCAGCUUUAUCCGUGCAAGAAGUGAGUUGCCUGGGCCUCGCUGUCGCCGUGAGCCGCAUAGAAAUCACCGUAUCCCAUAGGCUAGAGAUUAAUUCUUAUAAUCAUUCCUUUUGUUCAAAAAAAAAAACAUGUAUUCUGUUUCAUUAAAAAAUGUUUUUAUC